CACGUAGGGCGCAAGCGUUGUCCGGAAUUAUUGGGCGUAAAGAGCUCGUAGGCGGCUCUGUGCGUCCGCUAGUGGAAAACCUCGGGGCUUAACCCCGAGCCUGCAGUGGAUACGGGCAGACUAGAGGUAGGUAGGGGGAGAAUGGAAUUCCCGGUGUAGCGGUGAAAUGCGCAGAUAUCGGGAGGAACACCGGUGGCGAAGGCGGCGACCUGGACAGAUAUUGACGCUGAGGUGCGAAAGCGGUGGGGAGCAAACAGGG
rnacentral:rRNA from 1 species